rnacentral:rRNA from 1 species
AUAUCAAUAAGCGGAGGAAAAGAAACUAACAAGGAUUCCCCUAGUAACUGCGAGUGAGGUGGGAAAAGCUCAAAUUUAAAAUCUGGUGGUCCUUUGGCCAUCUGAGUUGUAAUUUAGAGAAGCAUCUUCUGCACUGGACUGUGCAUAAGUCUCCUGGAAUGGAGUGUCAUAGAGGGUGAGAAUCCUGUCUUCGGCAUGGACCCCAGGGCUUCUGUGAUGUGCUCUCAAAGAGUUGAGUUGUUUGGGAAUGCAGCUCAAAAUG